UUGAACGCUGGCGGCAUGCCUUACACAUGCAAGUCGAACGGUAACGGGUUAAGCCGACGAGUGGCGAACGGGUGAGUAAUAUAUCGGAACGUGCCCAAUCGUGGGGGAUAACGCAGCGAAAGUUGUUCUAAUACCGCAUAAGAUCUACGGAUGAAAGCGGGGGAUCGCAAGACCUCGCGCGAGUGGAGCGGCCGAUAUCAGAUUAGCUAGUUGGUGGGGUAAAGGCCCACCAAGGCGACGAUCUGUAGCUGGUCUGAGAGGACGACCAGCCACACUGGGACUGAGACACGGCCCAGACUCCUACGGGAGGCAGCAGUGGGGAAUUUUGGACAAUGGGCGCAAGCCUGAUCCAGCAAUGCCGCGUGCAGGAUGAAGGCCUUCGGGUUGUAAACUGCUUUUGUACGGAGCGAAAAGGCUCUCUCUAAUACAGGGGGCUCAUGACGGUACCGUAAGAAUAAGCACCGGCUAACUACGU
rnacentral:rRNA from 1 species